CCGCUAUUGGAGUCCGAUUAAGACAUGCGAGUCGAGAGCUUUCGGAGCUCGGCAUACUGCUCAGUAACACGUGGGUAACCUGCCCUGUGCUGGGGGAUAACCUCGGGAAACUGAGAACAAUACCCCAUAGUCCACUACGCCUGGAACGGUGAGUGGAUGAAAGCCCCGGCGGCACAGGAUGGGCCUGCGGCGUAUCAGGUAGUAGGGGGUGUAAAGUACCCUCUAGCCUUCGACGCGUACGGGUUGUGAGAGCAAUAGCCCGGAGAUGGAUUCUGAGACACGAAUCCAGGUCCUACGGGACGCAGCAGUCGCGAAACCUUGACAAUGCGGGAAACCGUGAUCAGGGGACUCCAAGUGCCAGGAGUAAGAUCCUGUGCUUUUCUUUUCUCUUCAAAGGAUUUGGAAUAAGAGGUGGGUAAGGACGGUGCCAGCCGCCGCGGUAAUACCGGCGCCUCGAGUGGUAGUCGAUUUUAUUGGGCCUAAAACGUCCGUCGCCGGUCUGGUGCAUUCGUGGGUAAAUCAACCCGCUCAACGGGUUGAAUUCUGCGAGCACGGCCAGACUAGGGACCGGGAGAGGUGUGGGGUACGCUCGGGGUAGGGGUAAAAUCCUGUCAUCCCGAGCGGACCACCUGUUGCGAAGGCUCCACACUAGAACGGAUCCGACGGUCAGGGACGAAGCCUAGGGGCACGAACCGGAUUAGAUACCCGGGUAGUCCUAGGUGUAAACGCUGUGGACUUGGUGUUGGGAGCUCCCAGAGGGCUCUCAGUGCCGUAGCGAAGGUGAUAAGUCCACUGCCUGGGGAGUACGGUCGCAAGGCUGAAACUUAAAGGAAUUGGCGGGGGAACACCGCAACCUGAGGAUUGUGCGG
rnacentral:rRNA from 1 species